AUAUAUAUAUAUAUAUAUGUGCAUGUGUAUUUAUGUGUGUGUAUAUAUAUGUGUGCAAACACACACACACACACACACACACACACACACACAC
rnacentral:miRNA from 1 species